CACAAUCUCUUCCUUUUCCCUGCCGACUUCACCUUCUCUUCUUUUCUAUUUCUAUGAACUGCUUCUACUAGAUUAUACCUCCUCUUUCUAAGUCUAGACGGGGAUAUCAUAGACUGUGUUCACAUGGCUUAUCAACCAGCUUUUGAUCAUGCUUUCCUUAAAGACCACAAGAAUCACGUCCAUCUCCUCCUACAUAUUUCUACUUUUAGCCAUUUUAUGCGAUUUUCUUUGUUGUUACCAAUUCUUUUUUAUGGAUAAGCUUAUCAAACUGUAUCAGCAUUCUUAAGCAAAUUAGAAUACUUGCUUAGCACUAAUUUCUUUGAAUUUCUAUCCAUUCUAUGUA